CUAGUUGGUGAGGUAAUGGCUCACCAAGGCUUUGAUCGGUAGCCGGUCUGAGAGGAUGGCCGGCCACACUGGAACUGAGACACGGUCCAGACUCCUACGGGAGGCAGCAGUGGGGAAUAUUGCGCAAUGGGCGAAAGCCUGACGCAGCGACGCCGCGUGGGGGAUGAAGCUUCUCGGAGUGUAAACCCCUUUCGACCCGGACGAAACGCCCGCAAGGGCUUGACGGUACGGGUAUAAGAAGCCCCGGCUAACUACGUGCCAGCAGCCGCGGUAAUACGUAGGGGGCCAGCGUUGCUCGGAAUUACUGGGCGUAAAGGGUUCAUAGGCGGUGCGGCAAGUCGGAAGUGAAAUCUCCAGGCUUAACUUGGAGGCUGCUCCCGAAACUGCCGUGCUUGAGUGCGGGAGAGGCCAAUGGAAUUGCAGGUGUAGCGGUGAAAUGCGUAGAUAUCUGCAGGAACACCCGUGGCGAAGGCGGCUGGCUGGACCGCAACUGACGCUGAGGAACGAAAGCUAGGGGAGCAAACAGGAUUAGAUACCCUGGUAGUCCUAGCCCUAAACGAUCAGGACUUGGGGUGCAUCCCGUCGGGGUGCGUCCCGUAGCUAACGCGUUAAGUCCUGCGCCUGGGGAGUACGGUCGCAAGACUGAAACUCAAAGGAAUUGACG
rnacentral:rRNA from 1 species